ensembl:lncRNA
CGCUAGCCUAGUGGAUGAUGAAUAGCCUGGCAAUCUUUAGUGGUAAAGGAAAAAGAACCCCUUCAGAGCAAAAUGAAAAUAUAUUUAUAUGUUUUGACAUUAUUAGGGCAGCCUCUGGAAAUCUAACUUUGUAAAAACCCAUGGUCUUGUCUCUCCUGCUCUCUCUCUUUUUGUAAUUUCCUCUUUGUCUUAGUGUGACUCAUUUCUCUCUUUCUUUCCUCCAGCUUUAUCCCUGGCACUCCCACUCCCAUUAGUUUUCACAGAAUUCUGUUUUGUUUGCCUCUCAAUUUUCCAUUCUCUCUCUUUUUUUUUUUUUUUUUGUUCUCAUUUCUAAGUCUCUAUUCCCACCCUUAUUUUAGGUCUCAACUAUAUUAUUAGCCCAGUGCUGCCUAUUCAGAUUUAUAUUUUGCAUAAAAGACAGAAGGAUUUGAAUGGAAGUGCGUGAUCUUUCUCUCAUGGCAACAUGUUCAUGGAUUCUACUGUAGACUAUCAGCUGUUCUGUAUACAAGAAUAUAUCAUUAGGUGACAACUGCCAAGUCUACAGGCUACUUAAUGUGAUCUCUUUUGUAAGGAUAUCAGUAAUAUGUCUGUUUGAGACUUGGAGAAAAGAAGGACCAACUGUUUGUUAGUGGAAGUGAUAUGUCCUGCAAAUAAAAGGCAAAAUGAGAUGAACUGAGCACCUGUGCAAACCGGAGCAGUGAUUGCAACAGCAUGCAGUUAUACGAUGUGUACCUGGCGCUGUACUGCACGGAUGUCAGCCUUAAAAUACCAGCACCGAGGUCCUAAUUAAAACAUGCACGUUGUUUGGCAACCAGUAGCAUUUGAAAUCAAGGAUUCACAGGAUCAGGCUUUUCUCUCAGAUCUUGUCUCCUCUGCAUUCCAAGUGUACGUUAAAGGCGAACUGAUUGAUUACUUUUGGAUGAGAUUUGGACAUUGAUUGAAAGAGCAGAAGAAGAGUAGUAUCACCUUGGGCUUACUUCUGAGGAAUGCACUAAAUGUGUACUCCAUGCUUUAACAACAAUGACGCCAACCUAAAAUUGAUGAGCAGAUCUAUGAAGAAAAGCCUAGAAAAGAAUAGCACAGGGAACGCAGGCCCAUCUGGAAGGCUGUAAUGCCUCGUGUUUUCCAUCCUGGCUGCUGGUGCUGGUGAUACCAUCAGUGUGAAUUUCAGAUCAGCAGAUAUAAUUGAUGAUGGACUGAAAAUCAGCAUCUACAUAUCAAGACCCAGGAGCGAUACAUUAUGCAUCAAGUUCGCACCAAGGGAUGUUGAAAUAAUGCCUGAGACUGUUGGAGAGAAUGGGUGCAGUAUUACGUGACUGUCUCAAGUCUGUAGUAUUAGCCACUACUCAGACUGGGAACAGGAAUACAUCUCCUGGAUUCCUGAUCUCUGUUUAAGUCUCUGUGCCAGGAUGCCUUGCUACUAUGCUUUUAAAAGACAGAGAUAUUGAGGUCCAAAACAAAGACAAACUAUUGUUGCUCAAUAUCCUUAAAGAAAAGACAAACUAAAUAGAGCACUUCAGUCAUACCAGCUUUUGGUCAACAGGAAACAUACACCCAGAUGAAGCUGUAUUAUGCCAGGUAUGUAAUGAAAAAAAAACAAAGAAACUUCAUUAUAUAAUUGAACUCUUACCAACUAUGUCAUAAUAUUUCAAAUGAGAAUUUUUUUUUUGUAUUUGAUUCUUUCCAUUUCUGUAAGACUAGCUUUCAUUGUUACUUAAGCCAAGUGAUGAUGUAGGCAAUGGAUGUGUGGUCUACUGUGACAAUUCUCAGUUCUAUGAUUAAUUCAUUCUGUUGUAAUAGCAUUCAGCUCUUCUCUUACCUAUUUAUUUAACAGAAAUUCAGGAACAUGGAGCAGUGGAGUUCAUUAGCAGAGGGGCCCUCAGAGCUGCUAGGUCUCAGGCUCCUUGUUUACCAGCUGGGCCAUGGAGACAGCUGUCUAGGCUUGGGCUGUUGUGCCCUGGUGUAAAGGAUCAAGUCUGAGUAAACAAGCCACUGCUAUUGCACCAGGAAGGGCCAAAGUCCUUUACUUCUGGCUAUGUUUAAUCUGCAGAACUAACAGGGUUUACAGUAUUUUAUUUUGGAAGGGAGGGAAGAUAGUUGCAGGUCCAAUGUGGCAAGGGAACUGCUUUGUGGGGAAUAAGAUGCUCUAGUGAUGCACUAACCGAGGCUUUAGAAAGGUCAAACUGCUUGAUGCACAUUUUACCCAGGAAGUUGAGUAGUGAAAUGCUCCCACUGCUGUGCCUGUUGGCCUCUUCAUCCUGCUCAUUGAAUGACGUGCACACACCUGCACCUUUCCUCUGAGAGCCAGACUGGAACCAGCUAUUAUCUUUGUCUCUGAAAACAAACGUGCCUAUUAUGGUCUAAAAUUAGGAUACUUUUCCUUCCCUUCCACCUUUCACAGCGGUCAUAAACUGACUAAUAGGGAGACUGCUGAAAUUCACUAAGUUUCUGUUUAUGUUCAGGCCAGGUCUGGUUUUAGUGCUGUUUUUAACUGGAAAAGAGAGGCUUAACUACUCAUUCCCACGCUGCUAAGUUUAGGGUACAGCCUAAAUGUGGCUGUGUUAUAUGUGGCUGUGGCAAGAUGGGCACAAAUAUACACUGUGUGAAUAGGAAUUGUUCCAUGAACGAAUCCAGCUAGGACUCAGUUUCUACUUUCUUUAGAUAGGAAAGUAUUUGACUGUAAGUCUGAUGGAACCCCUCUAUCCUCUCAGAUUGUAUGCAUACAUGAAAAAAAAUGUUGUUAUAAUACAGAUACUGGGACUAAACCAAACAUUGUUCUCAGCUGGCUUGAGUGGUGGAAAUUCCUCAAAAUCAGCACAGAGCCUGCCUGGACUUUGAAGGGCACUGGCCAGGCCCAUAUUAGGUGUACGAGGCCCC